CUAAAAAUUCUUUUUUUAAAUAUUAUUUUCAGAACUUGAAUUAACUAAAAUAAAUAAAAAUAAAUUCCAUUUUUUUUUAAAAAUACGUGAAAUAUUCUAAUAGAAUAUUACACUGACAUAUUUUAAAAAAUAAUUUUAAGAUGCAGAAUAAAUGGAAAAAUAUAAAAAUUCUUUUUUUAAAUAUUAUUGUAACAUCCCGAAAUAUCAAGAGUAGAGUUGAAUGGCUAAAAGAGUAAAUUGGGAAAGAGCGACUCAGCGAGUCCAUGUGCGGACUCGGCGAGUAGAGUCGCGACUUGGUCGCGUGUUAAGUGGCCGACUCGACGAGUCAGUGUAAUGGACUCGGCGAGUAGGCGCUGAGUGGAGAAAACCCUAAUUCUCGAGGUUGAGCCCUAUAUAAAGAACAUAACAUCCAUUCCCCCAGCCUCCUUACUCAUCCUCAAGUCCAGAAACCCUAACCCUCAUGUGUGAGUGGAUCAAGUGCAUUUGGAAGCUUGGAGAAGCAAUUGUUGAGGAAAUCUUGAAGCGUAAGAGGCUUGGAGCAAGGGGCUUUGCUUGGAUUCGAGUUUCAUUGCAGUGGGGGCGUUCCUUUGAGGUAAUAUCUCGUUUUUGAGCUGCUAUUUCUUAGAUGCAUCAUUUUGGGGGUGUUAGAGAUCAUAUCUUUGGAUGUAUUGGAGUUUAGAUGUUAGAUCUGAGGUUGCUACCUCAGAUCUGGAAUGGAGAAGGGUUGGAAUGCAUGAAAGUCCCUGUUUGUGAGUGGUUGAUGGAGCUAUUUUGUCCCAAACCCAAACCCUAGAGUGAAAAUGCAUAGAUCUCUUUGGAUUCACGUAAAGUUUGCCACUUUACGUGAUGGAUGAGUUGUAGGAGGCUAGAUCUAUGUUUUGGAUCAAUUGCAUGGCCUAAAAUGCUUCUGUAUGGAUUCAGACCGGUGGUACUCGGCGAGUCACAUGGGUGGACUCGACGAGUUGCUUGAAGAUAAGCUGGAACUCGACGAGUUGGAAGAACAACUUGGCGAGUUGGAUGAUGAUGGCCUGGAACUCGGCGAGUUGUAUGAACAACUCGGCGAGUAGGUUGAAGAUAGCCUUAGACUCGGCGAGUCUGUUAUUGGACUCAGCGAGUCUUGUCGAAGAGUCCCAAUAUUUUCUGGUUGAGUCGAGAAUCGGCAAGUCAAGGGAUGACUCGGUGAGUUGUGUGCGAGUGGACUCAGAGUUGUGGGACUCGGCGAGUCUCGGGGUGACAAUGCUCUGAUACCAAUCUGUCACACCCCAAAACCGAUAACGGCGGAAUACGUUUCGGGAUGGAUGACGUAGUGUACGGUAUCAUCACAAUUGCAUAAUAGUAAAAGCAAGAAAUAUACAACCAUUUCAUUUACAUAGAGAGUGUAUUUACAAGUGUGUUAUGUAAUGUUCAACAAACACCAAAAGUAAACAAAAAUAAGAGAUGGGUCUUGCAUGCUCCAUCUUCUCCAAAAAUGCUGCAGUUGUACCUGUUUACCUUUGACCUGAAGAUACAAGUUAUUUUGAAAAGAAUAUCAACAUAAAGCUGGUGAGUUCAUAAGAGUUUAGUGUGAGUUUUUGUAUAAAGAGCAAUAGUGCGAAAAAUGUGCUAUUUAUAUUCAUAAGCAGUAGAAAGCCUAGAAAAUCCUAUAUUUUCCCGAAAAUACAUUGUAAGUGAAAUGUAUGAAAAGUAUGCAUUCUCUAUUUUUGAAAACAGUUUGAUGUAAAAGUAUAUUAGCAAUCCUCAAAUAGUAAUGUGAUAGAGUAGGUUAAGCCUGUAUUUAGUGGUAGAGGUGCAAGCUUCCUUUAGUGAUCGAUACUUACUUACUUCGGGAUGUAGUUUAGCGUUUAGUGUAGUAUUUUAGAGUAGUUAUAGUGUAUUCCUUGUAUCUUACUAAUAGUGAGGAUCAUAGAGGAUCCCAUGACCUUCCCAGUCAUGCACAGUGUAGUGAAGUAGUGGCAUCCCUGGGCCUGCACGGCGCGGACUGAAAUUAACAGUCAGGAUAAGAUAGCGCCUGCCCCGUAUAGAUCUAUACAUGUAGUGUUGUCUUCCAGUCGGAAAACUCCGGGCGUAGUGGGUAACGAAUAGAGUAACUCGUAGUGGGUUAGUGUAUUAUUGUUUGUUUAGUGUUUUCUCUUUUAUUAUAGUGUAGUAAUCUUUUAGUAUUGAUCAUAGUGUAUUCUCUUACUAGCGUAUUGUCUGGUAAUAGUAAGUAUUAUAAUGUAGAGAGUAGUGACUUUAGCGAGUAGUAGUAGUAGCAACAUUAACUAUACCUAUUACAGUUAACUUAGUGUAGAUGGUUCUUGACAUGUUAGUGACUUUAGUAUCUAGUGAAAGGAGAAAUAUUCAUGUCCCAUACUAAUAUACAAGUUAUAUAACUAAGAAAUCAACGACAGUCGGACGGAUAACUACUACCCUAAGCCCACAAUCAAACAAGAACAGGAAAUAAGGCGAGAUAUCGGUCCUAAGUCCUCCAAGUCUUACUUAUAUAAAUAUAUCAGAGUGGUUACAUUAUAAAGGUAAAUUAAUUUAAUAAAAGUAUUUUCCAAAAGAACAUUUAAAAUCUGUCUUGCUUGUCCAAAAUAGUUUUGAAAAUGUAUAAAUCUGUUUAUAAGGCAUAGUGAUAAAUCACAUGUGAUUUGAACUAAGAAUAGUGAAUCACAUGUGAUUAAUCCUCGUAACGUGGAAAACCACUCUGUAAAACUUUCCAUAAACAUCUAUAAGCAACUUGUAUCUCCCCCCUAAAACAUUUAAAACAUUUGAAAGGUUCAUUAAAGGGGUAUGAACUCACCUGAAUUCGCGUAAAUCGGGUGAAUCGGGUAAAUCGGGUAAAAGUGUCGGUUGAGCGUUUGGUACCAAAUAACGACUUGAGCACCUUUUAGGACCCUAAUGCCAUAUGAAAUAUGUAUUUUACAAGAAUUUAAUCAUCUUAUGCUUUUCAUUAUAGUAUUUGGACAUUCUAGCAUCGUUUUCGGGGUUUUAGGGCCUAGAAGGGGUUCCCGGGAGUGGUACAAGGCCAAGAAUGAUUUACGGGAGGGUCCAUGAGCUCACUCCCUUGGAGUUUACGGCCCAAAGGCCACUCCUUGGGAGUUUACGGCCGUAAGCCCCCUAGGCUUGGCCGUAAACUCAUGUGGUCCUCCAAAAUGCAAGUUUAAUGCCUUAUUUCACUUCCCUAAUUUACUAGCAAGUGUCUUGAACUAAUAUGGAGGGUUUAAACUCUCAUUUGGUGACAUUUUGGGGAGUUUACGGCCAAGGCUUGUUCUUAGGCCGUAAACUCCAUUUAAUCCCUCAAAAUGGUUGUUUAAAUGGUACAACACACUCCCAUUCACCUUAGAUAAAUUCUAGAAGGCCUUAGAUGGAGUUUUGGGACAUUUUGGCAUAAGAAUUGGGGAGUUUACGGCCCAAGAAUAUCCUUGGCCGUAAACUCUUCUUUUGGCCUCAAAAUGAGAAGUUUAAUGGUACAACACACAUCCUAGGGCCUUAGCUAAAUUCCUUACAUGUAUUAGAUAAGUUUUGGGACAUUUUGACACAAAAAUUUGGGUGUUUACGGCCCAAGCUUUGACUUGGCCGUAAACUCCUCUUUUUGUCCUCAAAUGAUGUUGUUUAAUGCACUUAAACAUUUCCUAGUGCCAAGACUAAAUUACUAAACACCCUAGAUGAGUUUUUGGGGCUUUUAACAAGGGUUUUUGGGGUUUUUGGGGUGUUUAUGGCCUAAGCAUAAGCUUGGGCCGUAAACUCCUUUUUAAGCUUCAAAUCCUUGUGUUUUAAUGUCCAAACUCUCCUAGGUAUAUGUCUUAAUUAGUCCAUAAACUUAAAGGAAGGAAAAAUGAGGUUUUUGGCAAGUUUUUAGGUGUUUACGGCCUAAGGGGCUUCUUAGGCCGUAAACUCCUUUUUGGUCCUUGUUUUCCAUGAUUUUUGGCCCCUACAUACAAUGAAGUAUGUUUAGAAUAAGAUAGGGAAUGAGUCCUUACGUUUGGAAGCCGGAAUUUGCGGAUUUGGGGUCGGUUUCGGGUCUAGAGAGAGAAAGUAGUGAGAGAGAGAGUGAAGGUGUGGUAAAAGAGUUCAAUUGUAGUGUCCAUUUGUUUAUAUAUGUCUCGGGUAUUGCACCCGAUACACGGCUACCCGAUGCUAAAGUUUAACGGGGUAAAAACUUUUUACCCGGGUGAAGUGGUUGAAAAGUAAUAUAACUCUAUUUAGUUAAACGGGGUUAACAUUUACAAGUUAUAAUUACUUAUGAUAAUAUCCGAGCAUAUAAAUAACUAGAUAUUUGUUUAUUGACGACUCCUAACAUUACAACAAUAACAUGUAGUGACGCAUUCCGUUAGUGAAAAUAGGGUUUGUAACGGCAAUAUAUUUGGGGUUGCCACACCAUGAGUUCGAUCUUAAAGCUAAGUAAACUCAAAAAUCAUAACACUUGUGAUUCCACUAAAAAAUCAUAGCACUUGUGAUUCCACUCGUUUGCAGACUUGUCUAGAAUCCAUGAUACGAUAAAUCAUUUGAUUGGAAAUGUAAAUGUAGUCAUGAAAUGCGCCUGCUUAGUUAAGAUUCCCCUAAUAAAUAUUCAAAUGCAUUACAAAGUUGUACAUGUAUGAAUAAUGUCCUUUUGUAGGUUAUGUUUUGAAGAGAAGCAAGAAUGAAUCUCAUAAAGUCAUUAAUAUCAGUAGGAGAUGAUGUGAGAUUUGUUGUAAAUGAGUAAAGGGAAAAUGAAUCAGGAGGGUAACCAACUGUUGCGUUUGUUCUCAUUUGGUCCCUUUCCUUUUUUUGUACUCAAUAUACCAUCGAACUUGUUGUUUGUGUUCACCAUAACCCUUUGACCGGCUAUCACAGGUCAAAAGUCGGUCAAAAGGGCUAUGGUAAACACCAACAACAAGUUCGAUGGUAUAUUGAAUACAAAAAAAAAAAAGAAAAGGGACCAAAUGAGUACAAACGCAAAAGUUAAUUACCCUCAAGAGUCAUUUUCCCUUUUCUAAAAGCAUCUUAAAGUUUUAGACUUUGGCCCGUAUCCGAAAAAAAAAUUACGCGUCCUUCCCUCUUUUACCCUCAUACGAUGCUGUUGAUAUGCCCGCCUCCAAAAUAAAAUCCCCACGUUCAUAUCUUCUCUUCUGUCUCCUCCCACCUCCGACCCUGUAGAGCGUCGAUCACCUCCUCCGACCUCCUCCCGUCGUCGACCUUCCCUGAAAUCGACUCUAUCAACCGAUCACCGCCUCUGCUUGCGCCGCCUUUUCCACCGGUAAUGAACCCCUCCAUCUUCCUCAAAUUCUAAAACCCUCCACAGUUCGAUACAAUUAAAUUUAUUGGGGACAACGGCGACGGUAUAUGUUCAGAGCUCCGGUAGCUAGUAGUGGUGGUGUCCUUUAACAUCCAUCACCACUCAAUCACCAAACCUGGCAGAUAUGGGGGAUCAGAGUCACCACCGAGCUGCCGCUCCCACGGCUUUCCAAUUCCACCCGACAUGACCAGCCAUCAUCGACGUGUUCAAUCUAUACCUCAGCGACCGCGAUAAUUCAGACGAUUUGGUCCGAGAACCCCUGAACAAGACACAGAAACGAGUUAAGAGGCAAAUCAAGACCUUACUCACUAGUCAAAGCUCAUGCACCUCUUCAGAAGGCUAUAGGAUUGUUUCAAAGAUUGAUGUUGAUCAUAUGCAACGAAUCUCACACAUAAAGAAUUCCAAGAUAAGAAAGACAUCAAAACGGGAAUGAUAGGGUUCAGUUGCAAAUUAGAAUAGUUUUUGUGUUGUGUUUGAAAAUAUUUAUGUUUGGAUUUUAUUCGAAUUUUAGUAUUAUUUGGUGGAUUUGAAAAUAUUUUUGUUUGAUUUGGAUUA